rnacentral:rRNA from 1 species
GACGAACGCUGGCGGCGUGCUUAACACAUGCAAGUCGAACGGAAAGGCCCUGCUUUUGUGGGGUGCUCGAGUGGCGAACGGGUGAGUAACACGUGAGUAACCUGCCCUUGACUUUGGGAUAACUUCAGGAAACUGGGGCUAAUACCGGAUAGGAGCUCCUGCUGCAUGGUGGGGGUUGGAAAGUUUCGGCGGUUGGGGAUGGACUCGCGGCUUAUCAGCUUGUUGGUGGGGUAGUGGCUUACCAAGGCUUUGACGGGUAGCCGGCCUGAGAGGGUGACCGGCCACAUUGGGACUGAGAUACGGCCCAGACUCCUACGGGAGGCAGCAGUGGGGAAUAUUGCACAAUGGGCGGAAGCCUGAUGCAGCAGCGCCGCGUGCGGGAUGACGGCCUUCGGGUUGUAAACCGCUUUCGCCUGUGACGAAGCGGGAGUGACGGUAAUGGGUAAAGAAGCACCGGCUAACUACGUG